rnacentral:rRNA from 1 species
GAUGAACGCUAGCGGCAGGCCUAAUACAUGCAAGUCGAACGGCAGCAUCACCUUCGGGUGGAUGGCGAGUGGCGCACGGGUGAGUAACGCGUACACGACCUACCCUAGACUGGGGGAUAAGCAUUGGAAACGGUGUCUAAUACCCCAUGGUUUUACGAAGCUGCAUGGCUUUGUGAAUAAAGUUUCGACGGUCUAGGAUGGGUGUGCGUCCCAUUAGCUAGUUGGUAAGGUAACGGCUUACCAAGGCGACGAUGGGUAGGGGGCGUGAGAGCGUGGCCCCCCACACGGGUACUGAGACACGGACCCGACUCCUACGGGAGGCAGCAGUAAGGAAUAUUGGACAAUGGAGGCAACUCUGAUCCAGCCAUGCCGCGUGCGGGAUGAAGGCCCUAUGGGUCGUAAACCGCUUUUACAAGGGAAGAAAGGCAUCUAUUUAUAGGUGUAUAUGACGGUACCUUGGGAAUAAGGACCGGCUAACUCCG